UACGGGGGGGAGCAAGCGUUGUUCGGAAUUACUGGGCGUAAAGGGCGCGUAGGCGGCCUUCUAAGUCAGACGUGAAAUCCCCAGGCUUAACUUGGGAACUGCGUCUGAUACUGGGAGGCUUGAGUGCGGGAGAGGGAUGUGGAAUUCCGGGUGUAGCGGUGAAAUGCGUAGAUAUCCGGAGGAACACCGGUGGCGAAGGCGGCUUCCUGGACCGAUACUGACGCUGAGGCGCGAAAGCUAGGGGAGCAAACGGG
rnacentral:rRNA from 1 species